CCUACGGGGGGCUGCAGUGGGGAAUAUUGCACAAUGGGCGCAAGCCUGAUGCAGCCAUGCCGCGUGUGUGAAGAAGGCCUUCGGGUUGUAAAGCACUUUCAGCGGGGAGGAAGGCGGUGAGGUUUAUAACCUCAUCGAUUGACGUUACCCGCAGAAGAAGCACCGGCUAACUCCGUGCCAGCAGCCGCGGUAAUACGGAGGGUGCAAGCGUUAAUCGGAAUUACUGGGCGUAAAGCGCACGCAGGCGGUCUGUCAAGUCGGAUGUGAAAUCCCCGGGCUCAACCUGGGAACUGCAUUCGAAACUGGCAGGCUAGAGUCUUGUAGAGGGGGGUAGAAUUCCAGGUGUAGCGGUGAAAUGCGUAGAGAUCUGGAGGAAUACCGGUGGCGAAGGCGGCCCCCUGGACAAAGACUGACGCUCAGGUGCGAAAGCGUGGGGAGCAAACAGGAUUAGAUACCCGGGUAGUC
rnacentral:rRNA from 1 species